AGUCAACUCAUUUUCUUUGGACAGGUUGAAACUGAAUGGCAGGUCACAACAGACUCAAAACAGAACUCUGUUGUCUAUGAGCUUUUUGCAAUAUUUUAUCAUUUCGGGAGCUACAGAGGGGGUCAUUACACAGCUGAUGUCAGAUUACCUAAAACAGAAGACUGGCACAGCUUUGAUGAUUCUUAUGUGAACUUGAAGAAUAACAAUACAAAUCAACAUAAGGAAGG